rnacentral:rRNA from 1 species
AUAAUACUCCAUAGAUUAGAGACACUGGAAUGUUCUUUAGUCGAAAGUUCUGGCGCCUUAGGAUGGAUCUGCGGUCGAUUAGGUUGUUGUUGGGGUAACGGCCCAACAAGCCUGUAAUCGAUACGGGUUGUGGGAGCAAGAGCCCGGAGAUGGAAUCUGAGACACGAUUCCAGGCCCUACGGGGCGCAGCAGGCGCGAGAACUUUACAAUGCAGGAAACUGUGAUAAGGGAACUCCGAGUGCCCGUAUACGCGGGCUGUCCAGGUGUUUAAAAAUCACCUGAAGAAAGGGCCGGGCAAGACCGGUGCCAGCCGCCGCGGUAAUACCGGCGGCUCGAGUGGUGGCCACUAUUAUUGGGCUUAAAGCGUCCGUAGCUGGACCGAUAAGUCUCUUGGGAAAUCCGCCGGCUCAACCGGCGGGCGUCUAAGGGAUACUGUUAGUCUAGGGACCGGGAGAGGUGAGAGGUACUCCGGGGGUAGGAGUGAAAUCCUGUAAUCCCCGGGGGACCACCGAUGGCGAAGGCAUCUCACCAGAACGGCUCCGACAGUGAGGGACGAAAGCUGGGGGAGCGAACCGGAUUAAAUACCCGGGUAGUCCCAGCCGUAAACUAUGCGCGUUAGGUGU